ACAGCUGCCAGAGGGAAAGAGAGCACCCCGUAAAAGAGGGCGGAGGUGGCGUCAGCUUAAACUACCCGGUACACCCAGGUUCCAGGCCCCGUCUUAACCUAAAAACACAGAAAUCACAGUCUGGAGCUUUCAUAACCACUCAAGAGUGUAGAAAGUUAUAGUAACACGAGGAAUGAUGCAACGUUAGAAGGGAGUACAGAAACCCCCAGAAUUAUUACCGGCGGCCUUGAAGUCAAAACGUCUUCCUCAAGUGAGAAAUGCCCUCUUGGCACUUCACCCACUUUCACCUUAGCUAAACCUUGGGGCUGCAAAGUAUAACCAUUUGGUGACCUCACGUCUCAUUGCUGGCAUUACCAGCUUGAGCAGCCAUCCUGUGACUGCAAAGGAACACGCACAUAUUAAGGAUGCUGGGUGAAGGGAAGAGAGAAGGUCCUGGCUCUCCGAGGACGUUGUGGAUAUUCCAGAUCAGCCCUGGACUAAAAAAGACGUAUAUGAUAGGUUUUUGGAACUCCUUCUUUGCACAGCUCCCUCCUCUUUGUGCUUUGCCCCACACACUGCAGCCCCUCCGCCUCUCCAAGGCCUUAUUUCUGGAUUUCUGGCUCAUCAGCGCAGGGAGAGCUCCCUCCUGUGAUAUCUGGAUUUCUCCUCCUGGAACUAUGGUCCAAAAGUCACCCCCAGGAAGAAAGCUGUAACAAACAAAAGAUCACUACAAGUCAACAGAAAUAAAUUCAUUCUCAGAACAAACUUUUUUGGAGUGCUUGUAAGACUUUGCCUGUAAACUGCUUUUAAAGUACACUUUUACUAGGGAGUUCCCAUCAUGGCUCAGCAGAAACGAGUCUGACUCGCAUCCGUGAGGACGUGGGUUUAAUCCCUGGCCUUGCUCAGUGGGUUAAGGAUCCAGCGUUGCAUGUUCAACAUCACUCAUCAUCAGAGAAAUGCAAAUCAAAACCACUCGGAGGUAUCACUUUACACCAGCCAGAAUGGCCUUCAUCAAAGAGUCUACAAACAGUAAGUGCUGGAGAGGGUGUUGAGAAAAAGGAACCCUAGUACACUGUUGGUGGGAUUGUAAAUUGGUGCAACCACUGUGGAAAACAGUAUGGAGAUGCCUCAGAAAACUAAAUAUAGAACUACCAUUUGAUCCAGCAAUCCCACUCCUGUCCAUCUACCCAGAGAAAACCAUGUCUCGCAAAGACACAUGUACACCGAUGUUCAUUGCAGCACUAUUUACAGUAGCCAAGACAUGGAAACAACCUCAAUGUCCAUCAACAGAGGAGUGGAUCCAGAAGAUGUGGUACAUAUACACAAUGGAAUAUUACUCGGCCAUCAAAAAGAAUGAAAUACCGGCAUUUUUAGCCACAUGGAUGGACCUAGAAACUAUCAUGCUAAGUGAAGUCAGACGUACAAUGAGACACCAACAUCCAAUGCUUUCACUGACAUGUGGAAUCUGAAAAAAGGACAGACGGAACUUCUUUGCAGAACAGAUGCUGACUCACAGACAUUGAAACACUUAUGGUCUCCGGAGGAGACAGUUUGGAGGGUGGGGGGAUGUGCUUGGGCUGUGGGAUGGAAAUCCAGUGAAAUCAAAUUGUUAUGAUCAUUACACAACUACAGAUGUGAUAAAUUCAUUUGAGUAAUAAAAAAUUAAAAAAAAAAAAAAA
rnacentral:lncRNA from 1 species